AUUGAACGCUGGCGGCAGGCCUAACACAUGCAAGUCGAGCGGAUGAAGGGAGCUUGCUCCUGGAUUCAGCGGCGGACGGGUGAGUAAUGCCUAGGAAUCUGCCUGGUAGUGGGGGAUAACGUCCGGAAACGGGCGCUAAUACCGCAUACGUCCUGAGGGAGAAAGUGGGGGAUCUUCGGACCUCACGCUAUCAGAUGAGCCUAGGUCGGAUUAGCUAGUUGGUGGGGUAAAGGCCUACCAAGGCGACGAUCCGUAACUGGUCUGAGAGGAUGAUCAGUCACACUGGAACUGAGACACGGUCCAGACUCCUACGGGAGGCAGCAGUGGGGAAUAUUGGACAAUGGGCGAAAGCCUGAUCCAGCCAUGCCGCGUGUGUGAAGAAGGUCUUCGGAUUGUAAAGCACUUUAAGUUGGGAAGAAGGGCAGUAAGUUAAUACCUUGCUGUUUUGACGUUACCAACAGAAUAGGCACCGGCUAACUUCGUG
rnacentral:rRNA from 1 species